CUCCAAUUAGGAAGGGGCCAGAGAAACUUUCUAGUUAUGAAUCAGGUAUAGAACCGAUCGGGGAUGCUUGGUUACAAUUUAGAAUCCGUUAUUAUAUGUUUGCUCUAGUUUUUGUUGUUUUUGAUGUUGAAACAGUUUUUCUGUAUCCGUGGGCAAUGAGUUUCGAUGUACUAGGGGUAUCCGCUUUUAUAGAAGCUUUUAUUUUCGUGCUUAUCCUAAUUUUUGGUUUAGUUUAUGCAUGGCGAAAAGGAGCGUUGGAAUGGUCUUAGUCCCUUUCCUGAAUACUUGUACAAUAACAAUUUAAAAAAAACUAAAAAAACCAUUCAAACAAUUAUGAAUUCCAUUAAGUUUCCCGUACUUGAUCGAACAACCAAAACUUCAGUUAUUUCAACUACGUUAAAUGAUCUUUCAAAUUGGUCAAGACUUUCCAGCCUAUGGCCACUUCUUUAUGGUACCAGUUGUUGUUUCAUUGAAUUUGCCUCAUUAAUAGGCUCCCGAUUUGACUUUGAUCUUAUGGGUUAGUACCAAGAUCAAGUCCUAGACAGGCAGACCUUAUUUUAACAGCAGGUACAGUAACAAUGAAAAUGGCUCCUUCUUUAGUGAGAUUAUAUGAACAAAUGCCUGAACCAAAGUAUGUUAUUGCUAUGGGAGCGUGUACAAUUACAGGGGGGAUGUUCAGUACCGAUUCUUAUAGUACUGUUCGAGGAGUUGAUAAGCUAAUUCCUGUAGAUGUCUAUUUGCCGGGUUGUCCACCUAAACCAGAGGCUGUUAUAGACGCUAUAACAAAGCUUCGUAAGAAAAUAGCUAGAGAAAUCUAUAAGGAUCGAAUUAGACCUCAACAGGGUAAUCGGUGUUUUACUACCAAUCACAAGUUUUUUGUUGUACGCAGUACGCAUACUGGAAAUUAUGAUCAAGAAUUACUCUAUCCACCAUCAUCUAAUUCAGAGAUCUCUACUGAAACAUUUUUUAAAUACAAAAGUCCAGUAUCUUCCCACGAAUUAGUGAAUCAGAAAGGAUUUUAGAGAAUAAGAAAAAAAUCUUCAUAAAUUAGAACUCAUGGUAAAUGUGAAAUACUUAUUUUAUAUAAAAAAGGGGUGGGGGAAAUAAAAAAGAUGCAGGGCACUUUGUCCGUUUGGCGGGCCAAACGCAGGCUGGUUCAUAAAUCGUUGGGCUUCGAUUACCCAGGAAUAGAGACUUUACAAAUAAAACCCGAAGAUUGGCAUUCUGUUGCUGUAAUUUUAUAUGUAUAUGGUUACAAUUAUCUACGUUCGCAAUGUGCCUAUGAUGUGGCACCAGGUGGCCUCUUAGCCAGUGUGUAUCAUCUUACGAGAAUCGAAUAUGGUGUCAAUCAAGCUGAAGAAGUCUGUAUAAAAGUAUUUACUCACAGGAGUAAUCCCUGAAUUCCAUCUGUUUUCUGGGUUUGGAAAAGUACGGAUUUUCAAGAACGGGAAUCUUAUGAUAUGUUAGGAAUCACUUAUGAUAGCCAUCCACGACUGAAACGGAUCUUAAUGCCCGAAAGUUGGAUAGGGUGGCCUUUACGUAAGGAUUAUAUUGCCCCCAAUUUUUAUGAAAUACAAGAUGCUUAUUGAAUGAUAAAAAAAAGUCUUAGCUUCUACAACUACGGACCUUAUUUUGAAUUCGAUUCUUUUUUAGAUCAAACAAACAGAAGAAUUGAGGUCUCAUUAAUAUUAUUAUAGAUAGCUUGAUCUCCAAUUUGUUCAAUUUGAAAGAUACUUUUUUUUUUCGUAAAAGCCGAGCCAAUAGGAUGAACUAAAAAAAAAAAGAGCUCUGCAUUAUGAACUUUGUAUCGCGCACAUAACUUAGUCAACUUUAGUGACAUAACUGGGAAUUAAUAAAUAAGAUCGAAAAGCAAUAAAUGGGGGGGAGGUACAAUUAGAUUUUUAUUGUAUCUAAUCUUCGGGUAUUUCUGCCCUUCAACUAUAGAUACUACGGAUGGAUCCACAAUGAACAAAAAAAGAGAGGGGAAUAAAGGAUUAUUGCACUUUUUUACUUUACUAAAAAUACGUUUAAUUUGAAGAAUAGAAACUUAUCAAAAUUAAUCAAUCCUAUGCCAAGAACCAGAUUUGAACUGGUGACACGAGGAUUUUCAGUCCUCUGCUCUACCAACUGAGCUAUCCCGGCUAUUACCGAUUUGAACUGGUGACAUGAGGAUUUUGAGUCCUCUGCUCUACCAACUGAGUUAUCUCGGCCAUUACCGAAGUAUCAUCCUCAUUUUACUAGAUGACUUAGGUCUAUGUCAAUUAAAAGACACGCAAAAGUAGUAAAUGAAAAAAGUUUUGGACCGGGAAUUUCUUGGAUCUUCGAAAAGAAGAUUUUAUCAGUUUAAAACUGAAAAAUGAUAUCGAUUAUAAAUAAUUCAAAUUGAUAUUUCUUUCUCAUUUGUACGUGUAUGAUAUAUCCCACAAGACUUGUAUAUAAUAAGAAAAGAAAUUAUAGUUUGUAAAAGCGUAGGAUGAAUGACAAAAGAUAAUGAAUUCUUGAAUAACUAAAAAAGGGUAAGGUGUCAAACAGACUUUUUGGGGGAGUAGAGUUGGGGAUACAGGGACUUGAACCCUCACGAUUUUAAAAGUCAACGGAUUUUCAUCUUACUAUAAAUUUCAUUGUUGUCAGUAUUGACAUGUAGAAUGGGACUCUAUCUUUAUUCUCGUCCGAUUAAUAAGUUCCACCGAGGAUCUAUCAGACUAUGAAGUGAAUCAUUUGAUCAACACAAAGUAGUAAACUCCAUUUUUUAGAACAGCUUCCAUUGAGUCUCUGCACCUAUCCCUUUUUUUCUCGCUUUCUAAACUCUGGUUUGUUCACGUAAACUAGGAUUUGGCUCAGGAUUGCCCAUUGUUAAUUCCAGGGUUUCUCUGAAUUUGAAAGUUAUCACUUAGUAGGUUUCCAUACCAAGGCUCAAUCCAAUUAAGUCCGCAGCAUCUACCAAUUCCGCCAUAUCCCCUUUUUUGAUCUCAUUAUGAUGUCUUUCCACUUUUCUUAUGCCGAAACCUUGGAAUUCAUUACAUAUGUCAUAUAGAUACUUAUUUUAUUUUUUUUUAUAUCUUCUUUCAUUUUUUGAGCCCCAUCCAUAUUGAUUUAGUCUAAUCAAAAAAGAUUCUAUCAUUUUUGUAUUUGCAAUUCAAUAUGGUUAUAUAUUACAUAACAUAUAUAUGUUCUUCCUUUUCUCAUCUUUGUCUUAAAUUUGAAGAAAUAGUCGAACGGUCCAUUCUUUUUUUUUUACUUCCCAUGAAAACAAAUUUAUGAUUAUUAUUGAAACUUCGAAUUCUACUGUGUCGAUUUAAAAUUCGAAUAAUUCUAAAAGAUUCUAUUCGAAUAUUCAUUUCGAAUAUUAAUUCUAAUAAUUCUAUACUAUUAGAAAUAUAAUAAAAAGACAAAAAGUGCUAAAAUAAUAAUAAUAGCAUGAGGUUAGAACAAAAAAACAAGAAUUUCAAAUCAGAUAUAAUUUAACUUAAAAAAAUAAGAUUUCUGAUCUAAUUAAGAUUUUCUUAGUUUGAUUUCGAAACUAAUGAAAAAUUAGAAAGUUGAUCUAUUGCUAUAUUCUAUAUAAUUAAUAAUUAAUUAAUUAAGGUUAUGUUUUAUUUAUUUAAUAAUAGUCAUUAUUUAUUUGAGCUAUAUUCUGUUCUAGAAUAUUAUUAAUUCUAAAUAGAUAAGGAAAAAUAUGAAUAGAAUAGUUAAUUGAUAUGAUCUAGUAGUUUAGUGAAUUUCUAUGUAUGCGCUAUUUUAUUUGAGCCCGCUUAGCUCAGAGGUUAGAGCAUCGCAUUUGUAAUGCGAUGGUCAUCGGUUCGAUUUCGAUAUCCGGCUUUUACAUAUUUUGUCGUUUUUUUACAUGAUUUUUAAUGUACUUUAAAAAUCAAAGAAGAUUGAAAAGACUUCUUUCACCUUUUUCCAAGAGUUACCACGCCAUCUAUAUUAUAUCAUAUAAACUUCCAUAUAGGAAUAUAUAUUGGGAUAAAAGGGUUAGAUCUUUGCAAAAUAAAUCAAGAAAAUAAAGGAAAAUUUUUGUGAUUUAGUUGAUUUAUAUAUAUUGUAUAUACAAUAAAAAAAAUCUGUAUAUUGAGAGAAUAUAUCUUCUGACUCUUUGUAUUCCAAUAGUUUAUUGGAGUGGAUUUCACGUCAUUUAUCAUUAUCAUUUAGUUCAGUUUUAAUUUUGUUUAGUUUUGUUACAAUUUCAAUAAAAAAGGAGUCUUUAUGUCACGUUACCGAGGGCCUCGUUUUAAAAAAAUACAUCGUCUGGGGGCUUUACCGGGACUAACUAGUAAAAUACCUAGGGCAGGAAGCGAUCUUAGAAACCAAUCACGCUCCGGAAAAAAAUCGCAAUAUCGUAUUCGUUUAGAAGAAAAACAGAACGCCAAUUACUUAAAUAUGUUCGUAUCGCCGGAAAAGCCAAGGGGUCAAUGGGUCAAGUUUUAUUACAAUUACUUGAAAUGCGUUUGGAUAACAUCCUUUUUCGAUUGGGUAUGGCUUUGACUAUUCCUCAAGCGCGCCAAUUAGUUAACCAUGGACAUAUUUUAGUUAAUGGUCGUAUAGUUGAUAUACUAAGUUAUCGCCGCAAACCCCGAGAUAUUAUUACAGUGAAGGAUGAACAAAACUCUAGAACUUUGGUUCAAAAUCUUCUUGAUUCAUCUGCCCCCGAGGAAUUGCCAAACCAUCUGACUCUUCACACAUUCCAAUAUGAAGGGUUAGUCAAUCAAAUCAUAGAUAGGAAAUGCGUCGGUUUGAAAAUAAAUGAAUUACUUGUCGUAGAAUAUUACUCUCGACAGACUUAAUAAACCUAACUUAAGUAAAAAAAAUUACUAAAAACAAGAGUUCGGACAACUCCCCUUAGCCCUCUUUUUUGAUAAAAAAAAGGUACGAAUGUAAGGGAUUUUGUCGGGGAAUCUUUUUCCUAUUCAUGUAUCAUAGAUUGAUAGGGAGGUUUGGAUCCCUUGGUUUCUCUUCCCAUCAUUUUCCAUGCUAAAAUUUUUAGACCUACAUACAUACUUUAUUUACUCUUUUGUAUCGAACGAAAAGCUAAUACUUCAAGAUUCUUCUGAGUCUAAUUCACUGAAAUUCCAUCCAGUAGAACAGAAGAAUUAUAAAUCUCCAAAAUAAUGGAUAGGAAUAUAACUAGGAAAGAGUGCCUAAUCUCGCGAAUUACUUCUGAAUAAAAAAUUCACUAAAAAAAUCAUAUUUUAGAACCAUAGCAUUUCGUUAUUCUUUGGUAAGUCUACUUUACUUUGAUUCUCUAUCAACCAAAAAUUUGGGACCAUUAAUUAACAUGGUUAAAGCUAACCCGUUUGAAGUUCAUCAAAAGGUGCCUGUACGGCUCCUAAGGGAUACGAUUGAGAAAUAGGAAUCCGUGUUAUCAAAAGAUUUCCUGCGAAUUCUUUCUAGUUUUUUAAUUUGUUUUUGAGUCAAUUUUCUCAGUUUUUAUUGGCUCAAGGCUCUUAAUUUUUUGGUUUCGGAACAGAUUUAUCUAAUUAUUAUGACUGAAUCUGUAUUGAUGCUUUAUUACAUUGUUUUUCUUACAGUGACCUCAUAGACUUUCCAAAUUGGAAUAAUAUAUCAUUAAUAUUCAAUUUUUUCUCUCUUUCUUUCAUCCUUCCAUUUAUCCGCAUACUUUUCGAUUACCUUUUAUAACUUAGUAAUCAUCUGUCUUUAUUAUUUUUGCCCGAUCUAUCUAUAAGGCUCAGAAAGGGUCCGGUUGGAGGAAAGAAAGCUACAGCGCUAAGACGCAACUUCUACUAGUGUGCUCCUCUUGCUUUUAGGAAUAAAGAAGCAUCAGAUUCCAGUCUCGUAGUCAAUGAACUAUCUAAUCUAUAAGUUAAUGAUCUAUAUUAAGAAGAAAGAGCCUUUCACCUCGAGGUUCUGGAUUCUCCAAAUUCUUCUUGUUCUACUCCAGCACACUAAACCCGCAGAUACCAAUUCGUAUCUGCAAGAACACUACCGACUUCGUCAAGCCACUUACUGUCUAAAAAUGAUGACUCUUUUCCGUAUAGCGUCCUUUUCUCAAAUCGUUCUAUUUCAUCUGGUAUUCUCUAGGGGUAACUCUAUAUCAAAGAAAUGUAGAUUUUAUAUCUAUUCUUUUUUUUAUUUGAUAAAUUGUGGUUAAUCACAUAAGAUUGGUGAAUUAGUUGAAAGUACGGAAAGAGAGGGAUUCGAACCCUCGGUAAACUAAAGUCUACAUAACAGUUCCAAUGUUACGCCUUCAACCACUCGGCCAUCUCUCCGACAUCAGGGUUAUGACUGAGUACCUGGGUGAAUAGCGAGUUAUUCAUCGUUUUUUAGAUUAUGGUUAAUAGAAACCUUUUUUGACCGGAAAAAAUUGGAAGUAGAUAGAAUGUUUUUUUAUUUUAACGAUUCCGCUUUUAUGUUAGUUCGUACUAUAAAAUUCCUUUGUUUGUGAGACAAUUUUCUCACAAAAGAAAAGGUAAAGGAAAUAAAAAGAGUUAUAGAAUGGAUUACUACCUAUGCCAAGAUCGCGUAUAAAUGAAAAUUUUAUUGAUAAAACCUUUACAAUUGUAGCCGAUAUCUUAUUACGAGUCAUUCCGACAACUUCCGGAGAAAAAGGAGGCAUUUACUUAUUACAGAGAUGGUGCGAUUUGAUUAUUAUUAUUUUUUUUUAUUUCUCGCCGAUUUGGAAUAGAAAGAAAAACGACUAUUGAAAAAAAUCUACGCUUUUGAAGGUGAAGUUUAUAAUAUAAAAAAAAGCAAUCCCUUCUGUCAUGUAUCAACGAUUAAUGCAGCCUUAGAUGCUUCAAUUGUGAAUUCUAGUAUUGAGCAAAAGGUUUUUACCUAUGGUUCCCGUAUUACAGAUCAAACUAAUACACUCUACGAAUAGGAGGCACAGGGGAAGAAGCACUACGCCGAGAAAUCAACAACAUGAAAACUUUCUUCAAAAUGAUUCCUUUUCUUUCUUCUUCUUCUUUGGGAUUGGGACUAAUUAAAAUGGUUGGAACAAUAAACAUCCAUCUUGUUCUUACUUUGGAUACCCGUAUAACCAUUGAAGACUGUUGAAGUGACUAAUUCCUGGAAAUUUAAGGGCGUUGAGAACAAAGAAAUUUUUAGAGUUUCCUUUUUUAUUUUUAUCUAGCAUGAACCCACUUGGUAGUAAGAAAAGAUCUUUUGCAAGAAGGUUGGCUAGGGAUUUCUUGUAAAAACAUUAGCCCCGCUUAGGUCAUAAUGACAUCAAAUUUUUCCAUAUAUUUAUUAUUUUGAUUAUGUACCUAAAGGAGGAGCCGUAUGAGAUGAAAAUCUCACAUACGGUUCUGAAACGGAGAAUUCGGUAAAGCGAAUGACGACCGUAACGGAUGUCGGCUCAAUCUGAAGGAAAUUAUGCGGAAGCAUUACAGAAUUAUUAUGAAGCUAUGCGACUAGAAAUUGACCCCUAUGAUCGAAGUUAUAUACUCUAUAAUAUAGGCCUUAUCCACACAAGUAAUGGGGAACAUACCAAAGCUUUAGAAUAUUAUUUUCGGGCAUUAGAACGAAACCCCUUUUUACCAC
rnacentral:lncRNA from 1 species